rnacentral:lncRNA from 1 species
UCUCUUCCCCCUUCCUUCCCUACCUCCCCACCUGAAUGUAACUAUACUUUGCACAGUCCUCCUAUCCUUAUUCUUUCCCACCUCAGUAUACCUCUACCUCAAAAUCCCAGCCUUCUUCUGUCACUCCCCAGACCCUUAAAUCACCUCCUGACAUUUCUACCUUCCCACACUCUGCCUAAAAUCUCUAGCCCACCACCCCCCAGACACAACUUUUCCCCUGCCCUGCCUCUCUACCUCAUACCUACAUCCACAUCUUUCCCCAUCCCCUGACCUAUAUAUCAUGUCCACUCCCACCCCUGCCUUCUGUCAGGUCCCAGCAGCCUGACCUGCUCCUUAAGAGAGAAAGAAGUUAACUAGAUGGCAGUCGGGGGAAGUGGAAAGAUGGUUCAGGAGCCUAUAUGGAUCAGACUGAAACUGAAUCAAUAUCCCCAUAUCAGCCCUCAAGCAAGAAAUUGUGAAAAUUGAUCUAUCACAGUCCAUCAUUGAGGGAAGUCAAGUCAAGAACCUUAAGUUCCAUACAGCAUGAUCUGGCAUGAGUUUUGGAGCAUGGCCCUGGAUCUCCAAGAGAAUGUAUUGAAUGUAACAGAUUUGUUAAGAACCAUUGUUUCCAGGCCUCUAUCAUUGAAGGAGGAGAAGCAGCAAUCCAGGAGCAUUCCAAGUUUUAUGCACUGGAUAGCAAUUGCUGAGGUACCCACACAACAUAAUAGGUUGAGCAACUGCGUAGUUAGCCUCUCAGAGAUCCCUGACCAAUCCAGCACCUGAGAAAUAACAAUUGAGAAGUAACAGGAUGCUGCUGCCUGCUGAGACACCUUUGAGACAAUCCACAUUGAGUGGCAACUUCGGACUGGAUCCAGGCACCUGGAUGGACUGGCCGGGGAGGG